AUUGAACGCUGGCGGCAGGCUUAACACAUGCAAGUCGAGCGGGGGAAGGUAGCUUGCUACCGGACCUAGCGGCGGACGGGUGAGUAAUGCUUAGGAAUCUGCCUAUUAGUGGGGGACAACAUCUCGAAAGGGAUGCUAAUACCGCGUACGUCCUACGGGAGAAAGCAGGGGAUCUUCGGACCUUGCGCUAAUAGAUGAGCCUAAGUCGGAUUAGCUAGUUGGUGGGGUAAAGGCCUACCAAGGCGACGAUCUGUAGCGGGUCUGAGAGGAUGAUCCGCCACACUGGGACUGAGACACGGCCCAGACUCCUACGGGAGGCAGCGGUGGGGAAUAUUGGACAAUGGGGGGAACCCUGAUCCAGCCAUGCCGCGUGUGUGAAGAAGGCCUUAUGGUUGUAAAGCACUUUAAGCGAGGAGGAGGCUACUCUAGUUAAUACCUAGGGAUAGUGGACGUUACUCGCAGAAUAAGCACCGGCUAACUCUGUGCCAGCAGCCGCGGUAA
rnacentral:rRNA from 1 species